rnacentral:lncRNA from 10 species
GAACCCGGUACCUCAGAUGGAAAUGCAGAAAUCACUGUCUUCUGCGUCGCUCAUGCUGGGAACUAUAGACCGGAGCUGUUCCUAUUCAGCCAUCUUGGCUCCUCCCCUUGAAUAUUCUUUGAAGAGCUUAUUUAAUUUUUUGCUCAUAUUUUCAUGAUGGAUCUGCAAAAGUGGAUGUGCUUCCUAUGGAGCUAACACGUCUAGUCCAGGGCUCAGGGAAACCGAAGGAGGAACUGCUGCAGCUGCAGGUCCAGCUGCUGCCCUGAACCAAUAAGCGAGCCACCAG